CAGCCAUGCCGCGUGCAGGAAGACUGCCCUAUGGGUUGUAAACUGCUUUUAUACAGGAAGAAUAGACCUUACGUGUAAGGUGAUGACGGUACUGUAAGAAUAAGGACCGGCUAACUCCGUGCCAGCAGCCGCGGUAAUACGGAGGGUCCGAGCGUUAUCCGGAAUUAUUGGGUUUAAAGGGUCCGUAGGCGGAUCAUUAAGUCAGGGGUGAAAUUUUGCAGCUCAACUGUAAAAUUGCCUUUGAUACUGGUUAUCUUGAGUUGUAUUGAAGUAGGCGGAAUAUGUAGUGUAGCGGUGAAAUGCAUAGAUAUUACAUAGAACACCAAUUGCGAAGGCAGCUUACUAAGUACUAACUGACGCUGAUGGACGAAAGCGAGGGUAGCGAACAGGAUUAGAUACCCUGGUAGUCCACGCCGUAAACGAUGGUUACUAGCUGUUCGGGG
rnacentral:rRNA from 1 species